rnacentral:rRNA from 1 species
AUUGAACGCUGGCGGAAUGCUUUACACAUGCAAGUCGAACGGCAGCACGAACUUCGGUCUGGUGGCGAGUGGCGAACGGGUGAGUAAUGUAUCGGAACGUGCCCAGUCGUGGGGGAUAACGUAGUGAAAAUUACGCUAAUACCGCAUACGAUCUAUGGAUGAAAGCGGGGGAUCGCAAGACCUCGCGCUAUUGGAACGGCCGAUAUCAGAAUAGGUAGUUGGUGGGGUAAAGGCCCACCAAGCCAACGAUCUGUAGCUGGUCUGAGAGGACGACCAGCCACACUGGAACUGAGACACGGUCCAGACUCCUACGGGAGGCAGCAGUGGGGAAUUUUGGACAAUGGACGCAAGUCUGAUCCAGCCAUUCCGCGUGCGGGAUGAAGGCCCUCGGGUUGUAAACUGCUUUUGUACGGAACGAAAAGGUCUCUCUUAAUACGGGGGGCUCAUGACGGUACCGUAAGAAUAAGCACCGGCUAACUACGUGCCAGCAGCCGCAGUAA